AUGCCUUCCGCCUGGCUACUCCAACCUCGGCCAACAGCUCCGCCCCCCCCCGCAGCUACUCGCCCAAGCCUCUCCAGGUUCUCCUUUACCCAAAUCCAGAUAGCAGAUGUUCUGAAAGAGCUGCAAAACCUGGACCCGUACAAAUCAGCUGGGCUUGACAAUCUGGACCCUCUAUUUCUGAAAAUAUCCGCCGCCAUUGUCGCAACCCCUAUUACCAGCCUGUUCAACCUCUCUUUCAUAUCGUCUGAGAUCCCCAAGGAUUGGAAAGCUGCCGCAGUCAUCCCCCUCUUCAAAGGGGGAGACACCCUGGACCCAAACUGUUACAGACCUAUAUCCAUCCUGCCCUGCCUAUCUAAGGUCUUCGAAAGCCAAGUCAACAAACAGGUCACUGACCAUCUCGAAUCCCACCGUACCUUCUCCGCUGUGCAAUCUGGUUUCCGAGCCGGUCACGGGUGCACCUCAGCCAUGCUCAAGGUACUAAACGAUAUCAUAACCGCCAUCGAUAAAAGACAGUACUGUGCAGCCGUCUUCGACUCUGUCAAUCACCAUAUUCUUAUCGGCAGAAGUAGCCUUGGUUUUUCGGAUGACUGCCUUGCCUGGUUCACCAAUUACUUUGCAGACAGAGUUCAGUGUGUCAAAUCGGAGGGCAUGCUGUCCGGUCCUCUGGCAGUCUCUAUGGGGGUGCCACAGGGUUCAAUCCUCGGGCCGACUCUUUUCUCUGUGUAUAUCAAUGAUGUUGCUCUUGCUGCGGGCGAUUCCCUGAUCCACCUCUACGCAGACGAAACCAUUCUAUAUACUUCUGGCCCGUCCUUGGACACUGUGCUAUCUAACCUCCAAAUGAGCUUCAAUGCCAUACAGCACUCCUUCCGUGGCCUCCAACUGCUCUUAAAAGCUAGUAAAACCAAAUGCAUGCUUUUCAACCGUUCGCUGCAUGCACCCGCACGCCUGACCAGCAUCACCACCCUGGAUAGUUCCGCCCUUGAAUAUGUGGACAUCUAUAAGUACCUAGGUGUCUGGCUAGACUGUAAACUCUCCUUCCAGACUCAUAUCAAACAUCUCCAAUCGAAAAUCAAAUCAAGAGUCGGCUUUCUAUUCCGCAACAAAGCCUCCUUCACUCACGCCGCCAAACUUACCCUAGUAAAACUGACUAUCCUACCGAUCCUCGACUUCGGCGAUGUCAUCUACAAAGGUAAAGCUCCGCCUUAUCUCAGUUCACUGGUCACGAUGGCAACACCCAUCCGUAGCACGCGCUCCAGCAUGUGCAUCUCACUGAUCAUCCCUAAAGCCAAUACCUCAUUUGGCCGCCUUUCGUUCCAGUUCUCUGAUGCCUGUGACUGGAACGAAUUGCAAAAAUCGCUGAAGUUGGAGACUUUUAUCUCCCUCACCAACUUCAAACAUCUGCUAUCUGAGCAGCCCACCCAUUUUUACCUACCUCAUCCCCAUACUGUUUUUAUUUAUUUACUUUUCUGCUCUUUUGCACACCAAUAUCUCUACCUGUACAUGACCAUCUGA
rnacentral:lncRNA from 1 species